CUCUCCCCAACACUCCAGCGACCCACAGGAGUCCCACGAAGCGUCCAAUCCUUUCGAUGAGGAGGACGAUCCACACAGUCAAAACAAUGGAGUGAGUGGAGAUGAUGAUGAGUGGGACUACAGUGACCGCAUGGUUGAUCCCAACAAACCUGGAGUGCCAGUGCGAGCACUCUAUGACUACGAAGGUGUUGAGUCAGACGAACUCUCUUUCAAAGUCGGGGAGACCUUUGAGAAGCUAGAGGAUGAGGAUGAGCAGGGAUGGUGCACCGGACGCAAGGAUGGGCGGAUCGGUCUCUAUCCUGCGAAUUAUGUGGAACUCUGCUAAGCCAUCAUGUAUACCCAUUUUGGUAGAUCCAACUUGUAACAUUUCUGUGUAAAGACCUGUAGCAUAACAUUACCAAGCACAGCAGCUGCUCCCUGACUGGCCUGCCGCCACAGGCUGGAGGACUGGUCUCCAACACUCACAGCAACAGUAAAUUCAUACCUCACAUAACCUUUGCCAAAAGAGGGUCAUGAGCCCCAUCCCUGUCCAACAGGUCUUUUUAGUCCAUAUGGUAAUGUGUAGCAGUGAUUUAGCACUACGAGCAUAUUGUCUCUUGGAUGAACGUGGAUUUGUGUCAUUGAGGUGGAUGAACCCAGAGGUAGCUUUAUUCAGACAGAUGCUGCUAUCUGGAGAGUCCAACUGACAGCUGAGAAUGGAUCAUAGCCUUUCAGGAGUUUGUCACCUUUGUCAGUGUUAUGUUUUGUAGAGAAAUUUUCAACAACAAAAAAAUGUUGAAUAUCAUGAUAUUUCCAACAUUACACUUCAUUAUUUUAUGUGAACUUUUGAAUUCUGAGUUCCUGAAAGAUUGAACAAGACAUCAUACAUCAUAUUUACAUGUGAAAAAAUACAUGCCUACACCCACACACACCCACACUGUUUAUGUAUUAUGGUUAUAUAAGGUUAUUGUUAAUUCUGAGUAAUGUUAGUUUUAAGUCUUCUACAGACUAAUGUAUAUUUAGCAAGGCCAGAUAUGCACCAGACAGUUUAUUUGUUUUGUAGAUAUAUAUUUGUUGGUGAAAAGGAGAGAAAUGUGAGUGCGGUAAUGUUUGGAGACACAAUGCAAUUCAGGAGAGGCAAAUGAGCCCCGUUCUAUGGGGCAGCGAAAGAGAGAAGAGAGGGAGGAAAGUUACCAAGGAUUGUUUUUCAUUAGGACUACGCAACCACAGGUAACAGAGACUUGUGCUCUAAAUGUGUCCUGGUAAUGAUGCAUAUAUAUCGAAUGUACAUAGCACUUGUUUUAUUCCAAUUAUUAUGUACAUAGUGUUGAUGGCAUGGUGUAGGCCCACGCUGUUACCUAAUCACUAAGAUGUUCUAACAACCUUCUUUAUUUAUUUUAGUAAGAACUUAUUUCUGUAGAACUACCAUCAUUCAUUAUGGUUUAUUAUGAUGUAUUACUCUUACUAGAUUUAUUAUGAUUCAAAUGAUUUAUUAUUGCUGUUUCCUUUUUUUUUAUUAUAUAUAUAUUUUUUAUCAUUUUCCAAUAAGCAUUACUUUUUUAUGCCAGUGUUGUCUGUAGUAUUUGUCUUUUCGUGGGAGUGAACUACAUGCCCAGAGUAACGUCAGCUCUACUACUACUAUGCCAAUAAGUGUAAGUCAUAUAUGAUAUAUGAAUCAUAAUGGGUCAUUCUAUUGUAACCAGCUGAGGUGGAAUUGAGUUUCAACACUCUCCUCAAGCUUUGGUUGUCUCUCUUGUGUAAUAUCCAGGUCUGCUUAACCCAUUUCACUUAACAGAUGUCUCCAAGGGUGCAAGAAUGUUGAUGUUGAGGUGACUGUGUUAAGCAUAGUCCAUGCUAGAUUAGCUUUAAAGUAGAAAACUUGAACGAUCAAAAGUGCAUUAGGAAAUGUUGACCAGUAAAACCCAAGGAGUCAGGUAAACUCAUUUACUUCAUACUAUUAUUUUAUUUUUAUGUUCUGUAGUUGGUAGGCCUUGAGGCUGUCUCUGUUAUUGUGUCAUGGAUAUUCUGGAAAAUUUGUGUUUGACCUCUUUACAUCAUGUUCUCAAACUCUAUUGCUUGGAGUCCUUUGUUUGAGCUCCAUUAGAAGAUGACGAACUAUGAGAAAACCUUUUGCAGGCUAUCAGCUGGCACAUGCAGGUGCUCUUUCACCUGUUGCUUAUGCAUGAGCCAAGAUCACUAUGUCCUGUAGCAUUUUUUAAGUGCCACUUUUGAGCAGAAAAACAGAAAACACAAUUGAGAUACACGCCAAAGACGCAAACACACACACAUGUAUACUAACACAGAGACAUGUACACACAGGUACUGUAGGUAGGGAAAGAAUUAAUAUUUAUUUUUCUGUUGGAGUACAACUUAAAAAAAACAAUGGAUUCAGUUUAGCAGUAUUUUGGAGGGGUUCUUUCUAUAGGCCCCUCACAAUAUAUCUAGUUGGUGCCAGAAUAGUGUGAUUCAUGUAAAUGCUGUUAUUGAAGUCCAGUGGUAAGUAAGUGUAAGUAUGUGCACUUCACUGUAACUACUGAAGCAGGAAAUCAUAUUGCAAAGUGGGAUCCUCUAGUAUUUCUUGUCAUUAUUGGCCUAACUUAAGGGUAAGAUCUAUGGAAAAUAACCUUGCAAAACAUAGUGUCCCAUUUGAAAGUGGUCUGAGGUUAAAAGAAACAUUUUGAGAUAAAAUUGAGGCAUUUUCUUAUAAGGAUCCUUUAAAGAAAUAUGUGGUCCUGUCAGCAGCACAGCAGAAUAGUUUAGUUUGUGAAGAAAGAGAUUAACUAUUGUGUACGUAAGUGUUUAGAGAUAAUUUGCACCAUACGAAGAGGUAGUUGAUUGUGCUUUUAGCAAGGAAACAACAUUUAGUACUCCACUUGACAAGUGUAGACAUCGGAAUGGGGGCAACAUCCUUAGCCUUUUGUGCUGUUUUGAAUCUUUCAUCAGUUUGCCUUUUUUACAUUCUUUUUGAAAUGGUAUUUCUUGGUGGAAAUUCACAUUUUGAUCACUAGGUUUGAUUUCCUCAUUAUUUUACUUUGUUACUAGCUUUUUUAUGUUAUAUUAAAGAUAAAGAAUCAUUAUGUACAUAUUCUAGAUAUUUUAUUUAACCAUAUAGGACAAAUUUGAAUGUAUUUGACUUGUCCAGUGCUAUGUCUUGGUGAGACCAGAAAGAGCAACCCUUCGAAUGUUGUGUAGAUUGUUUUCCCUUCCUGUCCCAUAGUAAAUAUUUAUACAUCACAUUCAGAGGGUUAAUGUUCACUGUUGGUCCCACAUUGUACAUGUAAUCAGAUGCUAGAGUAAGUUAACGUUGUUUAGCAUUAAGUUCGUCAACAUCUGUUUCAUCAAAGAAAUGGUGAUCUGUUUCAUCAAAGAAAUGGCGAUCUGCUCAACUGCAUGAAAAAUUCUGGUAUUAUGGAGUCUAGUGACAGUCAGAACUAAACUCCAAGUAACAAAUUCUCUCUGAAGUGCCUGGCAUGUAUCUGUCAUCAGCUGUGAAUGAAUAAGUUUUGAAGUUUUGAUUGGGAGAAUGGCCUCGGUUAGGAGAUGCACGUCAUUCAGUACCGAAUAAAGCAGUGAAUCAUAAUACCGUUAGAUAUAAAGGGAAUUUAUGUUUUAUCACAGGAAGCAGAACCAUUUGCUUGUAGGGCAUAUUGUGGUUUCACUUGGCAGCUGUCCCAUUUUGUGUACAUUUGAGAAUGAGAGAUUUUCUUCUUUUUAUCUGUUUUAUGUGGGUAAUUUGUGUGAAUACUGUAACUUUCUUUGCACUCAUGUGUUUCAAAAUAUUAAACACUGAAAAAAAUAAUUUACUAUAGUACUGUAUAUGCAGUAAAUGUUUGCUCAUUUUAUUAAUAAUAUAGAAUUUUAAGUUGUCAAAUAUGGAUUCAGAAGAAAGUAAAACAUAAAAACAAAAAUUGUAAAAUGAUUUCAAGUAUUCCAGUGAAAGCAUUUGAGUUUAUUUUAAGAAAUGUAUAUUGAAAUAAUGAUGUGUCGUUUUCCAGACAUUAAUAGCUUUCUUUUUCUUUAUUUGUUUGUUUGUGGGUACGUUUGAGCAUACUGACUGCAUGUGUGUGUGUGUGAAUUUUGAAAUAUCAGAAAAAGAAAGUAUGCAGCACUGAAAUCCACUGGAUGUAAUUUAGAAAUAUUCACAUGUGUUGUAUUAAUUUGGGAUAAUAUAUUGUCUAAAAGUAAGCAAAAUUUUUAUUUUGGACGAACAAGGAUUAAAGUUGUCAUCUCUGGAGCUCUGGAGGAGCUAGAACACACAAGUGAUUUAUACCAUGUACAGAUACCUAAAAUCUGCUCAAUAAAAGACUCCAUGAAACACUUCAAGGACUUUAAUGCCCAUCAUCUCAUGAAAAUAAAGUAAAUGUAUAGUA
rnacentral:lncRNA from 1 species